UCAAUUUUUCACUAAAAAUUCUAAUUUUAGCUAAUAAAAAUAACAUGGACUAAAAGAAAUUGAUACAUACCUCGUUCGCGGCUCCCAAACAGCUGGAUGAUUGGGUGUUCGAUGGCGAAACUCACUAUACUCUCUUACUUGGCAGUUGUGAAUCAUUCGCCGUCGAUAUUGGCGUCAUCAGCUUCGUCGUCGAUAUUGGCAUCAUCAACUUCGUCGUCAUGGUCUCUAGUUUGUGACCAAAGUAAUUGAUCAAUUUUUUGAAAUGGGUUUUGAGCUACCUUGCUUCGAUUUAGGUGGAGGAGAGAUGAGUUGUAUUUCUGGUUUUGGU
rnacentral:lncRNA from 1 species